AGCUACCCAAAUAAAGUCAAAUCUGUCAACAUAUUCCGUUUUAUAUUUGAAAGCUUCCAAACAUGUUGCAGGAUGAAAAAUCACCUAGAAACUUCCUGCUCCAUUUCAUUACUUGGCAUUUCAGAUACUAGCGUACCAUUUAAUAUAGAAGAAUCUCUAUGUGAUGCAACAAGAUCUUCGCAAAAUGGUUCCUGUGUUCUGAUUUCAUGCAUAGAUCGCAUAAUUUCUAGUUCGGUUAUAUCGGUUGCUCUGUAUUUACUAUAUUAUUAUUUUUAAUAUUCUAUUAACUAUUCUUCCUAAGACAUGAAAAUGUAUGUACACCGAAUAAAUUAAUAAAUUAUCAUCUUACGUA